UAGAAAGUGGUGUAGUGGAAGCACCAAGAGUUUUGAUCUCUUGAGCAUGGGUUCGACCCCCUUCUUUCUAA
rnacentral:tRNA from 1 species